UCUCAAACCGAGCUCAUCUUCUUCCUUGAGAAGAUUUUACAUACAUAUCUUCAAACCUCCAUAUCGCCUUCGUUUCUUAACGGAAUUGGGCUAUUCUUGCGGACACGGAAUGAGGACGGAAUGCUCUACACAUCUAUCCCUAUAAAUCAAGGUUCGGAAGGCCUUCGACCAGCCACACCCUGACCCUAGUAGGAAGAGGUAUGAAGGCCAUAGGGGUUGCGUGGAAAGUCCUUACGCGAAGAGAGCGGAAGCAUUCAUCGUUAGUUUAAACUUGACGAGCAACGGGUCGAGACUCGCCGAGGCGACUACUAACGGAACACGGAACGUGACGAAUGAUAUUGCUUUAUUAGUUCUAGAAGAUUUUGGAUAGCAAGUGGUG